GUGCCAGCCGCCGCGGUACUACCGGCAGCCCGAGUGAUGGCCGAUCUUAUUGGGCCUAAAGCGUCCGUAGCUGGCCGCGCAAGUCCAUCGGGAAAUCCACCUGCUCAACAGGUGGGCGCCCGGUGGAAACUGUGCGGCUUGGGACCGGAAGGCGCGACGGGUACGUCUGGGGUAGGAGUGAAAUCCCAUAAUCCCGCACGGACCACCGAUGGCGAAAGCACUUCGAGAAAACGGAUCCGACAGUGAGGGACGGAAGCCAGGGUCUCCAACCGGAUUAGAAACCCGAGUAGUCC
rnacentral:rRNA from 1 species